GUUUGAUUUAGGAUCAGGAUUUAAUUAGGAUUUGGUUUAGGAUUUAGGAUUAAGAUUAGAGUUUGGUUAGGAUUUGAUUUAGGGUUAGGAUUUGGUUAGAGUUUGGUUAAGAUUUGAUUUAGGCUUAGAAUUUGAUUUAGGGUUUAGGGUUUAGAAUUUGGUUAGGAUUUGAUUUAGGAUUUAAGAUUUGGUUUAGGAUUUAACGUUUGGUUAAGAUUUGAUCAAGAUUUGAUUUAGGAUUUAUGAUUUGAUUUAGGAUUUAAGGUCUGGUUAGGAUUUGAUUAGGAUUUGAUUUAGGGUUUAGGAUUUUAUUUGAGUUUAUUUAGGAUUUAAGAUUUAGUUAGUUUUUGGCCUAAAGUUUGAAUGAAGUAAGAUUUCAACUAAGAUUAAAUUAAGAUUGAAUUGGGAUGUAUUUGAGAUAUAUUUGUAAUCAUUUUAAUAUUUCUUUAAGAUUUCUUAUUAUAUCUUUGGAAUUCUUUUGAGGUUUCUCUGAAUUUGAUUAAAGCUUAUUUAGCAUUGUUAGUGUUCUAUUAGAAUUAAGAUUUUGUUAUUGCAAUGUUUAUUCUACCUUCCACAACCAGGUGCUU
rnacentral:lncRNA from 1 species